rnacentral:misc_RNA from 1 species
UCCAUGGAGGACAGCUUCCUGGCGUGACUCAUAGUACCCUCCCGUUUCAGGCGAGAUCACGACGCCCCGGAAAUUCGUUUUCCGUUCUCCUGCACCGUGCUCCGACAGCCGCCGUCGCCUUUCCGGCGAUCUCAUCCGGCAGUAUUCUCUUUCUCCGGUCGUGCAUAGGCCAGCGCGAACGGCCCCGAGCGAUCGAACGGAUGAAAUUCCCCUUCUUUCUGCGCGAGACGAUCAGCGACCGCCCAUA